GAUGUACCGGCAUACAUCCGAGUUUGUUUUCGAUAAAAUGGCCGAGGAGCUCCGAAUGGUGUAUUAAAAGGGUGUAUAAAACCGGUACCAGCAUUGAGUCGCCUUCCGUGAAAAAUUAAUAUUCAUGAGAUUCAUAAUGGGAGAUUACUACAAUCGACUUGGCAUCGCUACUGAGUACAUUCGUGGGAGGUGGCCUAUCUUGGCGGCCAAGUUGAUGAGCUGGGCAGGAGAGAUUGAGGCUGGGAUUCUUGGAUAGCUAUAUAAUGUUACCUGAUCAUCAUUAUAAAAGAUGAUGGGCACAUCUUGAUCCUUGAGGCAGAAAAACUUGGACACUGGCUCCUGUGAUCUCCCAUCCUUCUUUACAUCUGUACAAGAUCAUUCAUUCAUUAAAUUGUAUGAAGCCA